AAAACCAAAAAAAGAAAAAAAAGAAGAAAAACCCUCCUGCUUCACGUACAACCUCCCAGCCGUUGCUCUCUCUCUCCUCGCCGCGGCUCUCCUCCUCACGACUGAGCCCUCGACGCCGCCACCGCAAAGCACCACCGUGUGCCGCCGUCCACCACCUAGCGCAGUCACCCACGAACCUCGACCACCGCCUUGCACGCAACCACCGCACGCAACCACCGUGCUCCUCCCUCGCCGCAAGCCGCCACCGUCUACCGGCCAGCCUCCUCUCCCCUCUCUAAUUCUUGGUUAUUUCUUAAACCCUAAGUAAACUAAAUAUUUUGAUUUUAUUUUGUUUAUUUAAUUCAUGAUUUGAUUUAAUAAAUUUAUGAUUUUUAUGAGUUAAUUGGAUUUUCAGAUUUAUGUAGUAUG